rnacentral:rRNA from 1 species
AACCUGCGGAAGGAUCAUUAUUGAAGUAAACUUGAUGAGUUGUUGCUGGUUCUCUAGGGAGCAAGUGCACACUCGUCAUUUUUAUAUCUCCACCUGUGCACAUUUUGUAGACCUUGGGUAUCUCUCUAAUUGCUUCUUUUUAGCAUUUAGGAUUAAGGAUUGACUUUGUCUCUUCUUACAUUUCCAGGUUUAUGUUUCUUUAAAUACCCUAAUGUAUGUUUAAAGAAUGUAUUUAAUAGGCCUUUGUGCCUAUAAGUCUUUACAACUUUCAGCAACGGAUCUCUUGGCUCUCGCAUCGAUGAAGAACGCAGCGAAAUGCGAUAAGUAAUGUGAAUUGCAGAAUUCAGUGAAUCAUCGAAUCUUUGAACGCACCUUGCGCUCCUUGGUAUUCCGAGGAGCAUGCCUGUUUGAGUGUCAUUAAUAUAUCAACCUCUUUGGUUGGAUGUGGGGUUUGCUGGGCUUUUGAGAUCAGCUUCUCUUAAAUGUAUUAGCGGACAAUUUUUUUGCCAAACGCUCAUUGGUGUGAUAAUUAUCUACACUAUUGACGUGAAGCAAGUUCUGCUUAUAACUGUCUAUUGACUUGGACAAAUUUAUUAAUGUGACCUCAAAUCAGGUAGGACUACCCGCUGAACUUAA